rnacentral:rRNA from 1 species
AGUGAACGCUGGCGGUAGACCUAACACAUGCAAGUCGAACGGCAGCACAGUAAGAGCUUGCUCUUACGGGUGGCGAGUGGCGGACGGGUGAGGAAUACAUCGGAAUCUACUUUUUCGUGGGGGAUAACGUAGGGAAACUUACGCUAAUACCGCAUACGACCUACGGGUGAAAGCAGGGGAUCUUCGGACCUUGCGCGACUGAAUGAGCCGAUGUCGGAUUAGCUAGUUGGCGGGGUAAAGGCCCACCAAGGCGACGAUCCGUAGCUGGUCUGAGAGGAUGAUCAGCCACACUGGAACUGAGACACGGUCCAGACUCCUACGGGAGGCAGCAGUGGGGAAUAUUGGACAAUGGGCGCAAGCCUGAUCCAGCCAUACCGCGUGGGUGAAGAAGGCCUUCGGGUUGUAAAGCCCUUUUGUUGGGAAAGAAAAGCAGCAGGUUAAUACCCCGCUGUUCUGACGGUACCCAAAGAAUAAGCACCGGCUAACUUCGUG